CAGAAAAUAGUUUAUAUAAAAUGUUAAUUUUGGGAAUUAGUGAAAAAGCGUAAUUUUUUUCUGA
rnacentral:tRNA from 1 species